CCUUUCGCUGUAUGGCGUGCUCGUUUGGGUUGGGCGUCGGCUAAGAGUGCUCGGAGCGUGGAUUAACUCCAGUCUCCUAUCAGGUGUGUAUUUCUCACUAUUCUAGCUGUAGGAUGGCUACUUCAGGCCGCGAUGGGCCGAAAGGGGCUAUGUGGGCCCAAUGGGCCUACGGGCCCAAUUGGAUAAGCUGUUUGAUUGUACAGUAAAUAUUGGACUAGGCUAGGUGAAUCUCAUAUUUGUGGCUAGAUUUGGGCUAAAAGGGCCACACGAGCGUGUGGGCCCAUAUGGGCUGAGAAUGGGGUUUAGGGCCAUUCAUAUUGUUAUCCCUGUUUAGAAUUCUUUAGUUUACCAAAUUACAGAAAUGCCCUCGACUUGUAAAAUUACGAAAGUACCCUCAAUUUAUAGAAUUAUCGUUUUACCCUCGAUUUACAGAAUUACCAUUUUACCCUCAAUUUAUAGAAUUACCAUUUUACCCUCGAUUUAUAGAAUUACCAUUUUACCCUCGAUUUAUAGAAUUACCGUUUUACCCUCGAUUUAUAGAAUUACCGUUUUACCUUCGAUUUACAGAUUUACCAUUUUACCCUCGAUUUAUUAUAUUACUAAAAUACCAUUGGUUUACAAAAUUACCAAAAUACCCCUGGUUUGUAAAAUUACUAAAAUACCCCUGGUUUGCAAAAUUACCAAAAUACCCCUGAUUUAUAAAAUAUCGAAAUACUCUCGAUUUGUAAAAUAUCAAAAUACCCAUGUAGGGUUGAAUUAUCGAAAUAACCCUGUAGGGUAUAAUUACCGAAAUACCCCUGUAGGGUAGAAUUACUGAAAUAACCCUAUAGGGUAGAAUUACUGAAAUACCCCUAUAGGGUAAAAUUACUUAAAUACCCCUGUAGGAAAAAAUUACCGAAAUACCUUUGUAGGGCAGAAAUACUGAAAUACCCCUGUAGGAUAGAAUUACCGAGAUACCCUUGUAGGGUAAAAUUACCAUUUUGCCCCUAGGGUGUUAAAUGAUUGUUUUGCCCUUGUGGGCAAGUGACUGACUUGGACUGUGUGGUUGACGGAUUUGAUUGUGAAUAUAUGUUGGUGAUAUGAAUGACUUGACUGUGAUUGUUUGAUUCAAAUAUGGGCAUGACAUUCUGCAUACAUGACAUGUUGCAUGGGUUGGGUUUUAUAAAUGGAGGAAGUGCUAGAAGGGCAAUGCCCCAGUUUACCGAAAAGGGCUUUGCCCCAGUUUAUCCAAAAGGGCUUUGCCCCAGUUAUUAAAAGAGGCUAGGCCUCCAGUUAUAUGAUAAAGCAGCUAUGCUACCAGUGGAGAGUUUGGUUGGGUGGGUUGAGUUAUUCCCCACAUGGAGAGCUUGGUUGGUACGGGUGGAGAGUAGCGGAUGGUGGGUUCAGUAGUCUCCCCAAAUGGGCUUGCAUACAUCCAUUGGUAUUACAUGUGAUAUUGAAAUGGGCCUAUGGGCCAUACCGCUUACAGUAAAGGAAUCGGCCAAUGAUAUGAUUUAUGAAAAGGCUUCGGCCCAGUGAUAUGAUUUAUGAAAAGGCUUCGGCCCAGUAUAUGUCGAGACUGAAUUAGGGCUUAGGUCCAUAUUGCUACUGUUUAAAGGCUAAGGCCCAGACUGUACUGUUACUGAAUAGGGCUUUGGCCCAGAUUGUACUGACACUGUGUUAUUCAUUGUUUGUUUGUUGUUGGGGUUACACACUGAGUUUUCGUAAACUCACCCCAUUUCUAAGUGUGUAGGUAAUCCCUAAGCUUAGAUGGUUUGGAGCUGCGAGGGACUCGGAGAUGGCCACAAUACUGUUUCUGUUUCUUUUAAUUGCACUAAGUAACCGGUUUAUUUUUUUUGUAAGUUUUAUCUUAAUUAAUAUUAUUAUUUGGUUUUGGGUUGUAAUAAGGCCAUUUUAAUUAUUUUUCUGGGAUUAUUUUAUUUUAUACCCUAUAUUUUACUGAUAACAAUCCAAAAUGAAUUAGACUUAGGGCGUAUUUCCAAAAUGAUAAUUGUUUUCAAAAUAACGCAACGAUACAAUUAAUCGGUUUAUCAAAAAUAUCUACUUAAAUGAAUUCCAACUUAUUUUUCUCAAAACCUAACCUCGCACCAAAGUGUGGCAAUGGUUGUGGGCAUGUCUAGGAUUGGAUCCAAUCAAGAGCUUGGUACUUAAGCAGCCUUCAUGGCUCACCUCCUCUGUUACGGAUUCUUACCUGGUGCCCAGCUUCCAUUCACUUGGUUAAGCUGAACAAAAGUUGGUUUUAAAACGCUAAAACGAAACGUGGAUUUUUAACUUCAAUAUGGCACGUCAGAUUCGGCCGUAACGUUUGGGCCAGGUUUGGGGUGUUACAUUUAGUGGUAUCAGAGCCAAGUUACAAAACUCGGUUGUGGUAUGGGUAACAGAAAAUUAUUGUUAUUUUUUUUCUUUUUUUGAAAUUGGGUUUUUUUUGAAAUUUUAUUUUAAAAUUUAUCAACAAAACUUGACUUGUUUCUGAAAAGAUGUUAUUGGAAGUGUGGCACACCGAGUCUCCAGCACCAAAUCUGUAAGUUCUCUAACUCUGUUUACUGUUAUAGAUUAAAAUGAUAUAUUGAGAAACCACUAUAGAUAGUAGCACAAUACUGGAACUCUCUAGUUAGAGUAAACUGUAACGCUUGAAUUUAGAUUUAGUAUUUAUUUGGUGUGCAUUCUGGAAAUGUAGAAAUUGUUUGCAUGUGAAAUCUAUCCGCUCCGAUGGAUAAAUUUUUUGGGUGUAUGUUACUAUUAUUAGUAUCAUAGUGCGCAGCAAAAGUGUGGUGCUGUAGUCUGAGAGUGGAAAAUUUCGAGGACAAAAUUUCUUUAAGGGGGUAGAAUUGUAACACAUCGAAUUUGGGCCUAGAAGUAUUGGGCCUUGAGUGUGGGUCCAUAAGGAGGUUGUAUACAGGUAUUUAAUUGUGCAAUGAAAUGACACAAUUAAAUGUCUGCUUUGGUGGUUAAUGGCCCUGAGAAGUGUUAGAGAAAUCUUGGGUUCAAACUUGGGCUUUAGCAAAAAUUUUGGUAUUAAGAGAAAAAAACCUGGAUGCUUGGAUGAGGGCUUUUAAAUUAUUGCGUUAAAUAAAUGACACAGGGAAUCUUGUAGUCUAGUGGUUGUGGCGUCAUUAAGGUUGUAUGGGAGCCUGGGUUCAAGCCUUGGCUCUUGCAAUUUAUUUUGGUUUUUUUAAGGGAACUUAGACUUUGGCCUUUAGACCUUAUAAUUAAUUGGGGAUAAAAUAUGACACAAAAAGCCUUGUGGCUUAGUGGCAAGUAGCGUGUGGAGCAUCUGAGGGGAGGCAUGGGUUCGAAUCCCAUGGCAAGCAAAGAGCAUUUAUUUUGCUAGCAGGGGUGGCAAGAGUUGGUGUUGAAUUUAAACUCUGAUGUUGGAGGGAUCCCACAUCGGGAAGCUAACAUAAGAGUGGAUGCAAAGCUGGCUUUAAAUAGAGGGAACCAUUAGGAGAGUAAAGGUACCUUUCUUGGCUAAUCCCUUUCGCUGUAUGGCUUGCUCGUUUGGGUUGGGCGUCGGCUAAGAGUGCUCGGAGCGUGGAUUAACUCCAGUCUCCUAUCAGGUGUGUAUUUCUCACUACUCUAGCUGUAGGAUGGCUACUUCCGGCCGCGAUGGGCCGAAAGGGGCUAUAUGGGCCUACGGGCCCAAUUGGAUAAGCUGUUUGAUUGUAUAGUAAAUAUUGGACUAGGCUAGGUGAAUCUCAUAUUUGUGGCUAGAUUUGGGCAAAAAGGGCCACACGAGCGUGUGGGCCCAUUUGGGCUGAGAAUGGGCAUUAGGGCCAUUCGUAUUGUUAUCUCUGUUUAGAAUACUUUAGUUUACCAAAUUACAGAAAUGCCCUCGACUUGUAAAAUUACGAAAGUACCCUCAAUUUAUAGAAUUAUUGUUUUACCCUUGAUUUAUAGAAUUACCAUUUUACCCUUGAUUUAUAGAAUUACUGUUUUACCCUCGAUUUACAGAAUUACCAUUUUACCCUCGAUUUAUAGAAUUACCAUUUUACCCUCGAUUUAUAGAAUUACCGUUUUACCCUUGAUUUAUAGAAUUACCGUUUUACCUUCGAUUUAUAGAAUUACCAUUUUACCCUCGAUUUAUAAUAUUACUAAAAUACCAUUGGUUUACAAAAUUACCAAAAUACCCUCGAUCAGUAAAUUACCAAAAUACCCCUAGUUUGUAAAAUUACUAAAAUACCCUUGGUUUGUAAAAUUACCAAAAUACCCCUGGCUUGCAAAAUUACCAAAAUACCCCUGAUUUAUAAAAUUAUCGAAAUACUCUCGAUUUGUAAAAUAUCAAAAUACCCCUGUAGGGUAGAAUUAUCAAAAUACCCCUGUAGGGUAUCAUUACCGAAAUACCCCUGUAGGGUAGAAUUACUGAAAUAACCCUAUAGGGUAGAAUUACUGAAAUACCCCUAUGGGGUAAAAUUACUGAAAUACCCCUGUAGGGAAAAAUUACCGAAAUACCUUUGUAGGGUAGAAAUACUGAAAUACCCCUAUAGGGUAGAAUUACCGAGAUACCCUUGUGGGGUGAAAUUACCAUUUUGCCCCUAGGAUGUUAAAUGACUGUUUUGCCCUUGUGGGCAAGUGACUGACUUGGAUUGUGUGGUUGACGGAUUUGAUUGUGAAUAUAUGUUGGUGAUAUGAAUGACUUGACUGUGAUUGUUUGAUUCAAAUAUGGGCAUGACAUUCUGCAUACAUGACAUGUUGCAUGGGUUGGGUUUUAUAAAUGGAGGAAGUGCUAAAGGGCAAUGCCCCAGUUUACCGAAAAGGGCUUUGCCCCAGUUUAUCAAAAAGGGCUUUGCCCCAGUUACUAAAAGAGGCUAGGCCUCCAGUUAUAUGAUAAAGCAGCUAUGCUACCGGUGGAGAGUUUGGUUGGGUGGGUUGAGUUAUUCCCCACAUGGAGAGCUUGGUUGGUACGGGUGGAGAGUAGCAGAUGGUGGGUUCAGUAGUCUCCCCAAAUGGGCUUGCAUACAUCCAUUGGUAUUACAUGUGAUAUUGAAAUGGGCCUAUGAGCCAUACCGCUUACAGUAAAGGCAUCGGCCAAUGAUAUGAUUUAUGAAAAGGCUUCGGCCCAGUGAUAUGAUUUAUGAAAAGGCUUCGGCCCAGUAUAUGUCGAGACUGAAUUAGGGCUUAGGUCCAUAUUGCUACUGUUUAAAGGCUAAGGCCCAGACUGUACUGUUACUGAAUAGGGCUUUGGCCCAGAUUGUACUGACACUGUGUUAUUCAUUGUUUGUUUGUUGUUGGGGUUACACACUGAGUUUUCGUAAACUCACCCCAUUUCUAAGUGUGUAGGUAAUCCCUAAGCUUAGAUGGUUUGGAGCUGCGAGGGACUCGGAGAUGGCCACAAUACUGUUUCUGUUUCUUUUAAUUGCAGUAAGUAAUCGGUUUAUUUUUUUUGUAAGUUUUAUCUUAAUUAAUAUUAUUAUUUGGUUUUGGGUUGUAAUAAGGCCAUUUUAAUUAUUUUUCUGGGAUUAUUUUAUUUUAUACCCUAUAUUUUACUGAUAACAAUCCAAAAUGAAUUAGACUUAGGGCGUAUUUCCAAAAUGAUAAUUGUUUUCAAAAUAACGCAACGAUACAAUUAAUCGGUUUAUCAAAAAUAUCUACUUAAAUGAAUUCCAACUUAUUUUUCUCAAAACCUAACCUCGCACCAAAGUGUGGCAAUGGUUGUGGGCAUGUCUAGGAUUGGAUCCAAUCAAGAGCUUGGUACUUAAGCAGCCUUCAUGGCUCACCUCCUCUGUUACGGAUUCUUACCUGGUGCCCAGCUUCCAUUCACUUGGUUAAGCUGAACAAAAGUUGGUUUUAAAAUGCUAAAACAAAACGUGGAUUUUUAACUUCAAUAUGGCACGUCAGAUUCGGCCGUAACGUUUGGGCCAGUUUUGGGGUGUUACAUUUAGUGGUAUCAGAGCCAAGUUACAAAACUCGGCUGUGGUAUGGGUAACAGAAAAUUAUUGUUAUUUUUUUUCCUUUUUUUGAAAUUGGGUUUUUUUUAAAUUUUGUUUUAAAAUUUAUCAACAAAACUUGACUUGUUUCUGAAAAGAUGUUAUUGGAAGUGUGGUACACCGAAUCUCCAGCACAAAAUCUGUAAGUUCUCUAACUCUGUUUACUGUUAUAGAUUGAAAUGAUAUAUUGAGAAACCACUAUAUAUAGUAGCACAAUACUGGAACUCUCUAGUUAGAGUAAACUGUAACGCUUGAAUUUAGAUUUAGUAUUUAUUUGGUGUGCGUUCUGGAAAUGUAGAAAUUGUUUGCAUGUGAAAUAUAUCCGCUCCGAUGGAUAAAUGUUUUGGGUGUAUGUUACUAUUAUUAGUAUCAGAGUGCGCAGCGAAAGUGUGGUGGUGUAGUCUGAGAGUGGAAAAUUUCGAAGACAAAAUUUCUUUAAGGGGGUAGAAUUGUAACACAUCGAAUUUGGGCCUAGAAGUAUUGGGCCUUGAGUGUGGGUCCAUAAGGAGGUUGUAUACAGGUAUUUAAUUGUGCAAUGAAAUGACACAAUUAAAUGUCUGCUUUGGUGGUUAAUGGCCCUGAGAAGUGUUAGAGAAAUCUUGGGUUCAAACUUGGGCUUUAGCAAAAAUUUUGGUAUUAAGAGAAAAAAACCUGGAUGCUUGGAUGAGGGCUUUUAAAUUAUUGCGUUAAAUAAAUGACACAGGGAAUCUUGUAGUCUAGUGGUUGUGGCGUCAUUAAGGUUGUAUGGGAGCCUGGGUUCAAGCCUUGGCUCUUGCAAUUUAUUUUGGUUUUUUUAAGGGAACUUAGACUUUGGCCUUUAGACCUUAUAAUUAAUUGGGGAUAAAAUAUGACACAAAAAGCCUUGUGGCUUAGUGGCAAGUAGCGUGUGGAGCAUCUGAGGGGAGGCAUGGGUUCGAAUCCCAUGGCAAGCAAAGAGCAUUUAUUUUGCUAGCAGGGGUGGCAAGAGUUGGUGUUGAAUUUAAACUCUGAUGUUGGAGGGAUCCCACAUCGGGAAGCUAACAUAAGAGUGGAUGCAAAGCUGGCUUUAAAUAGAGGGAACCAUUAGGAGAGUAAAGGUACCUUUCUUGGCUAAUCCCUUUCGCUGUAUGGCUUGCUCGUUUGGGUUGGGCGUCGGCUAAGAGUGCUCGGAGCGUGGAUUAACUCCAGUCUCCUAUCAGGUGUGUAUUUCUCACUACUCUAGCUGUAGGAUGGCUACUUCCGGCCGCGAUGGGCCGAAAGGGGCUAUAUGGGCCUACGGGCCCAAUUGGAUAAGCUGUUUGAUUGUAUAGUAAAUAUUGGACUAGGCUAGGUGAAUCUCAUAUUUGUGGCUAGAUUUGGGCAAAAAGGGCCACACGAGCGUGUGGGCCCAUUUGGGCUGAGAAUGGGCAUUAGGGCCAUUCGUAUUGUUAUCUCUGUUUAGAAUACUUUAGUUUACCAAAUUAUAGAAAUGCCCUCGACUUGUAAAAUUACGAAAGUACCCUCAAUUUAUAGAAUUAUUGUUUUACCCUUGAUUUAUAGAAUUACCAUUUUACCCUUGAUUUAUAGAAUUACUGUUUUACCCUCGAUUUACAGAAUUACCAUUUUACCCUCGAUUUAUAGAAUUACCAUUUUACCCUCGAUUUAUAGAAUUACCGUUUUACCCUUGAUUUAUAGAAUUACUGUUUUACCUUCGAUUUAUAGAAUUACCAUUUUACCCUCGAUUUAUAAUAUUACUAAAAUACCAUUGGUUUACAAAAUUACCAAAAUACCCUCGAUCAGUAAAUUACCAAAAUACCCCUAGUUUGUAAAAUUACUAAAAUACCCUUGGUUUGUAAAAUUACCAAAAUACCCCUGGCUUGCAAAAUUACCAAAAUACCCCUGAUUUAUAAAAUUAUCGAAAUACUCUCGAUUUGUAAAAUAUCAAAAUACCCCUGUAGGGUAGAAUUAUCGAAAUACCCCUGUAGGGUAUCAUUACCGAAAUACCCCUGUAGGGUAGAAUUACUGAAAUAACCCUAUAGGGUAGAAUUACUGAAAUACCCCUAUGGGGUAAAAUUACUGAAAUACCCCUGUAGGGAAAAAUUACCGAAAUACCUUUGUAGGGUAGAAAUACUGAAAUACCCCUAUAGGGUAGAAUUACCGAGAUACCCUUGUGGGGUGAAAUUACCAUUUUGCCCCUAGGAUGUUAAAUGACUGUUUUGCCCUUGUGGGCAAGUGACUGACUUGGAUUGUGUGGUUGACGGAUUUGAUUGUGAAUAUAUGUUGGUGAUAUGAAUGACUUGACUGUGAUUGUUUGAUUCAAAUAUGGGCAUGACAUUCUGCAUACAUGACAUGUUGCAUGGGUUGGGUUUUAUAAAUGGAGGAAGUGCUAAAGGGCAAUGCCCCAGUUUACCGAAAAGGGCUUUGCCCCAGUUUAUCAAAAAGGGCUUUGCCCCAGUUACUAAAAGAGGCUAGGCCUCCAGUUAUAUGAUAAAGCAGCUAUGCUACCGGUGGAGAGUUUGGUUGGGUGGGUUGAGUUAUUCCCCACAUGGAGAGCUUGGUUGGUACGGGUGGAGAGUAGCAGAUGGUGGGUUCAGUAGUCUCCCCAAAUGGGCUUGCAUACAUCCAUUGGUAUUACAUGUGAUAUUGAAAUGGGCCUAUGGGCCAUACCGCUUACAGUAAAGGCAUCGGCCAAUGAUAUGAUUUAUGAAAAGGCAUCGGCCCAGUGAUAUGAUUUAUGAAAAGGCUUCGGCCCAGUAUAUGUCGAGACUGAAUUAGGGCUUAGGUCCAUAUUGCUACUGUUUAAAGGCUAAGGCCCAGACUGUACUGUUACUGAAUAGGGCUUUGGCCCAGAUUGUACUGACACUGUGUUAUUCAUUGUUUGUUUGUUGUUGGGGUUACACACUGAGUUUUCGUAAACUCACCCCAUUUCUAAGUGUGUAGGUAAUCCCUAAGCUUAGAUGGUUUGGAGCUGCGAGGGACUCGGAGAUGGCCACAAUACUGUUUCUGUUUCUUUUAAUUGCAGUAAGUAACCGGUUUAUUUUUUUUGUAAGUUUUAUCUUAAUUAAUAUUAUUAUUUGGUUUUGGGUUGUAAUAAGGCCAUUUUAAUUAUUUUUCUGGGAUUAUUUUAUUUUAUACCCUAUAUUUUACUGAUAACAAUCCAAAAUGAAUUAGACUUAGGGCGUAUUUCCAAAAUGAUAAUUGUUUUCAAAAUAACGCAACGAUACAAUUAAUCGGUUUAUCAAAAAUAUCUACUUAAAUGAAUUCCAACUUAUUUUUCUCAAAACCUAACCUCGCACCAAAGUGUGGCAAUGGUUGUGGGCAUGUCUGGGAUUGGAUCCAAUCAAGAGCUUGGUACUUAAGCAGCCUUCAUGGCUCACCUCCUCUGUUACGGAUUCUUACCUGGUGCCCAGCUUCCAUUCACUUGGUUAAGCUGAACAAAAGUUGGUUUUAAAAUGCUAAAACAAAACGUGGAUUUUUAACUUCAAUAUGGCACGUCAGAUUCGGCCGUAACGUUUGGGCCAGUUUUGGGGUGUUACAUUUAGUGGUAUCAGAGCCAAGUUACAAAACUCGGCUGUGGUAUGGGUAACAGAAAAUUAUUGUUAUUUUUUUUCCUUUUUUUGAAAUUGGGUUUUUUUUAAAUUUUGUUUUAAAAUUUAUCAACAAAACUUGACUUGUUUCUGAAAAGAUGUUAUUGGAAGUGUGGUACACCGAAUCUCCAGCACAAAAUCUGUAAGUUCUCUAACUCUGUUUACUGUUAUAGAUUGAAAUGAUAUAUUGAGAAACCACUAUAUAUAGUAGCACAAUACUGGAACUCUCUAGUUAGAGUAAACUGUAACGCUUGAAUUUAGAUUUAGUAUUUAUUUGGUGUGCGUUCUGGAAAUGUAGAAAUUGUUUGCAUGUGAAAUAUAUCCGCUCCGAUGGAUAAAUGUUUUGGGUGUAUGUUACUAUUAUUAGUAUCAGAGUGCGCAGCGAAAGUGUGGUGGUGUAGUCUGAGAGUGGAAAAUUUCGAAGACAAAAUUUCUUUAACGGGGUAGAAUUGUAACACCUCGAAUUUGGGCCUAGAAGUAUUGGGCCUUGAGUGUGGGUCCAUAAGGAGGUUGUAUACAGGUAUUUAAUUGUGCAAUGAAAUGACACAAUUAAAUGUCUGCUUUGGUGGUUAAUGGCCCUGAGAAGUGUUAGAGAAAUCUUGGGUUCAAACUUGGGCUUUAGCAAAAAUUUUAGUAUUAAGAGAAAAAAACCUGGAUGCUUGGAUGAGGGCUUUUAAAUUAUUGCGUUAAAGAAAUGACAGAGGGAAGCUUGUAGUCUAGUGGUUGUGGCGUCAUUAAGGUUGUAUGGGAGCCUGGGUUCAAGCCUUGGCUCUUGCAAUUUAUUUUGGUUUUUUUAAGGGAACCUGGACUUUGGCCUUUAGACCUUAUAACUAAUUGGGGAUAAAAUAUGACACAAAAAGCCUUGUGGCUUAGUGGCAAGUAGUGUGUGUAGCAUCUGAGGGGAGGCAUGGUUCGAAUCCUAUGGCAAGCAAAGAGCAUUUAUUUUGCUAACAUGGGGCGGCAAGAGUUGGUGUUGAAUUUAAACUCUGAUGUUGGAGGGAUCCCACAUCGGGAAGCUAACAUAAGAGUGGAUGCAAAGCUGGCUUUAAAUAAAAGGAACAAUGGGGAGAGUAAAGGAACCUUUCUUGGCUGAUCCCUUUUGCUGUAUGGCGUGCUCGUUUGGGUUGGGCGUCGGCUAAGAGUGCUCGGAGCGUGGAUUAACUCCAGUCUCCUAUUAGGUGUGUAUUUCUCACUACUCUAGCUGUAGGAUGGCUACUUCCGGCCGCGAUGGACCAAAAGGGGCUAUGUGGGCCAAUGGGCCUACGGGCCAAAUUGGAUAAGUUGUUUGAUUGUGUAGUAAAUAUUGGACUAGGCUAGGUGAAUCUCAUAUUUGUGGCUAGAUUUGGGCUAAAAGGGCCACACGAGCGUAUGGGCCCAUUUGGCUGAGAAUGGGCUUUAAGGCUAUUCGUAUUGUUAUCCCUAUUUAGAAUACUUUAGUUUACCAAAUUAUAGAAAUGCCCUCGACUUGUAAGAUUACCAAAGUACCUUCGAUUUAUAGAAUUACUGUUUUACCCUUGAUUUAUAGAAUUACCAUUUUACCCUCGAUUUAUGGAAUUACCAUUUUACCUUCGAUUUACAGAAUUACCAUUUUACCCUCGAUUUAUAGAAUUACCAUUUUACCCUCGAUUUAUAGAAUUACCCUUUUACCCUCGAUUUAUAGAAUUACCAUUUUACCCUCAAUUUAUAGAAUUACCGUUUUACCUUCAAUUUACAGAAUUACCAUUUUAGCCUCGAUUUAUAAAAUUACUAAAAUACCAUUGGUUUACAAAAUUACCAAAAUACCUUCGAUCAGUAAAUUACCAAAACCCUUGGUUUGUAAAAUUACUAAAAUACCCCUGGUUUGUAAAAUUACCAAAAUACCCCUAGAUUGCAAAAUUACCAAAAUACCCCUGAUUUGUAAAAUUAUCGAAAUACUCUCGAUUUGUAAAAUAUCAAAAUACCCCUGUAGGGUAGAAUUAUCGAAAUACCCCUAUUUGGUAUAAUUACCGAAAUAUCCCUAUAGGGUAGAAUUAUUGAAAUAACCCUGUAGGGUAGAAUUACCGAAAUACCCCUAUAGGGUAAAAUUAUUGAAAUACCCCUGUAGGGUAGAAUUACCAAAAUACCCUUGUCGGGUAGAAAUAUUGAAUACCCCUAUAGGGUAUAAUUACCGAGAUACCCUUGUGGGGUAAAAUUACCAUUUUGCCCCUAGGGUGUUAAAUGACUGUUUUGCCCUUGUGGGCAAGUGACUGACUUGGACUGUGUGGUUGACGAAUUUGAUUGUGAAUAUUGUUAGUGAUAUGAAUGACUUGACUGUGAUUGUUUUACUCAAAUAUGGGCAUGACAUUCUGUAUACAUGACAUGUUGUAUGGGUUGGGUUUUAUAAAUUGAGGAAGUACUAAAAGGGCAAUGCCCCAGUUUAACGAAAAGGGCUUUGCCCCAGUUUACCGAAAAGGGCUUUGCCCCAGUUAUAUGAUAAAGCAGCUAUGCUGCCAGUGGAGAGUUUGGUUGGGUGGGUUGAGUUAUUCCCUACAUGGAGAGCUUGGUUGGUACGGGUCGAGAGUAGCGGAUGGUGGGUUGUGUAGUCUCCCCAAAUGGGCUUGCAUACAUCCGUUGGUAUUACAUGUGAUAUUGAAAUGGGCCUAUGGGCAUACCGCUUACAGUAAAGGCAUUGGCCAGUGAUAUGAUUUAUGAAAAGGCUUCGGCCUAGUAUAUGUCGAGACUGAAUUAGGGCUUAGGCCCAUAUUGCUACUGUUUAAAGGCUAAGGCCCAGACUGUACUGUUACUGAAUAAGGCUUUGGCCCAGAUUGUACUAACACUGUGUUAUUCAAUGUUUGUUUAUUGUUGGGGAUUACACACUGAGUUUUCGUCAACUCACCCCGUUUCUAAGUGUGCAGGUAAUCCAUAAGCUUAGAUGGUUUGGAGCUGCGAGGGACUCGGAGAUGGCCACACUACUAAAUUGCAGUAAGUAACCAGUUUAUUUUAUUUUAUUAUAAGUUUUAUCUUAAUUAAUAUUAUUAUUUGGUUUUGGGUUGUAAUAAGGCCAUUUUAAUUAUUUUUCUGGGAUUAUUUUAUUUUAUACCCUAUAUUUUACUGAUAACAAUCCAAAAUGGGUUAAACUUAGGGUGCGUUUCCUAAAUGAUAAUUGUUUUCAAAAUAACACAAUGAUAGAAUUAAUCGGUUUAUCAAAAAUAUCUACUUAAAUGAAUUCCAACUCGUUUUUCUCAAAACCUAACCUCGCACCAAAGUGUGGCAAUGGUUGUGGGCAUGUCUAGGAUUGGAUCCAAUCAAGAGCUAGGUACUUAAGCAGCUUUAAUGCCUCACCUCCUCUGUUACGGAUUUUUACCUAGUGCCCAGCUUUCAUUCACUUGGUUAAGCUUAACAAAAGUUGGUUUUAAAACGCUAAAACGAAACGUGGAUUUUUUUCUUUUUUCGAAAUUGGGGUUUUUUUUAAAUUUUGUUUUGAAAUUUAUCAAUGAAACUUGACUUGUUUCUGAAAAGAUGUUAUUGGAAGUGUGGCACACCGAGUCUCCAGCACCAAAUCUGUAAGUUCUCUAACUCUGUUUACUGUUAUAGAUUGGAAUGCUAUAUUGAGAAACUACUAUAGAUAGUAGCACAAUACUGGAACUCUCUAGUUAGAGUAAACUAUAACGCUUGAAUUUAGAUUUAGUAUUUAUUUGGUGUGCGUUCUGGAAAUGUAGAAAUUGUUUGCAUGUGAAAUCUAUCCGCUCCAAUGGAUAAAUGUUUUGGGUGUAUGUUAGUAUUAUUAGUAUCAGAGUGCGUAGCGAAAGUGUUGUGGUCUAGUCUGAGAGUGGAAAAUUUCGAGGAUGAAAUUUCUUUAAGGGGGUAGAAUUGUAACACCCUAAAUUUGGGCCUAGAAGUAUUGGGCCUUGAGUGUGGGUCCAUAAGGAGGUUGUAUAUAGGUAUUUAAUUGUGCAAUGAAAUGACACAAUUAAAUGUCUACUUUGGUGGUAAAUGGCCCUCAGAAGUGUUAGAGAAAUCUUGGGUUCAAACUUGGGCUUUAGCAAAAAUUUUUGUAUUAAGAGAAAAAAACCUGGAUGCUUGGAUGAGGGCUUUUAAAUUAUUAUGUUAAAUAAAUGCACAAGGAAGCUUGUAGUCCAGUGGUUGUGGCGUCAUUAAGGUUGUAUGGGAGCCUGGGUUCAAGCCUUGGUUCUUGCAAUUUAUUUUGGUUUUUUUUAGGGAACCUGGACUUUAGCCUUUAGACCUUAUAAUUAAUUGGGGAUAAAAUAUGACACAAAAAAGCCUUGUGGCUUAGUGGCAAGUAGCGUGUGGAGCAUCUGAGUGGAGGCAUGGGUUCGAAUCCCAUGGCAAGCAAAGAGCAUUUAUUUUGCUAAUAGGGGGCGGCAAGAGUUGGUGUUGAAUUUAAACUCUGAUGUUGGAGGGAUCCCACAUCGUGAAGCUAACAUAAGAGUGGAUGCAAAGCUAGUUUUAAAUAGAGGGAACUAUGAGGAGAGUAAAGGUACAUUUCUUGGCUGAUCUCUUUCGCUGUAUGUCGUGCUCGUUUGGGUUGGGCGUCGGCUAAGAGUGCUUGGAGCGUGGAUUAACUCCAGUCUCCUAUCAGGUGUGUAUUUCUCACUACUCUAGCUGUAGGAUGGCUACUUCGGGCAGCGAUGGGUCGAAAGGGGCUAUGUGGGCCCAAUGGGCCUACGGGUCAAAUUGGAUAAGUUGUUUGAUUGUGUAGUAAAUAUUGGACUAGGCUAGGUGAAUCUCAUAUUUGUGGCUAGAUUUGGGCUAAAGGGGCCACACGAGCGUGUGGGCCCAUUUGGGUUGAGAAUGGGCUUUAGGGCCAUUCGUACUAUUAUCCCUGUAGAAUACUUUAGUUUACCAAAUUACAGAAAUGCCCUCGACUUGUAAAAUUACCAAAGUACCCUCGAUUUAUAGAAUUACUGUUUUACCCUUGAUUUAUAGAAUUACCAUUUUACCCUAGAUUUAUAGAAUUACCGUUUUACCCUCAAUUACAGAAUUAUCAUUUUACCCUUGAUUUACAGAAUUACCGUUUUACCCUCGAUUUAUAGAAUUACCAUUUUACUCUCGAUUUAUAGAAUUACCGUUUUACCCUCGAUUUAUAGAAUUACCAUUUUACCUUCGAUUUACAGAAUUACUGUUUUACCCUCAAUUUAUAAAAUUACUAAAAUACCAUUAGUUUACAAAAUUACCAAAAUACCCUCGAUCAGUAAAUUACCAAAAUAACCCUGGUUUGUAAAAUUACUACAAUACCCUUGGUUUGUAAAAUUACCAAAAUACCCCUGAUUUGUGAAAUUAUCGAAAUACUAUCGAUUUGUAAAAUAUUGAAAUACCCUUGUAGGGUAGAAUUACUGAAAUAACCCUAUAGGGUAGAAUUACCGAGAUACCCCUAUAGGGUAAAAUUACUGAAAUACCCCUACAGGGUAGAAUUACCAAAAUACCCUUGUAGGGUAGAAAUACUAAAAUACCCCUGUAGGGUAGAAUUACCGAGAUACCCUUGUGGGGUAAAAUUACCAUUUUGCCCCUAGGGUGUUAAAUGACUGUUUUGCCCUUGUGGGCAAGUGACUGACUUGGACUGUGUGGUUGACGGAUUUGAUUGUGAAUAUAUGUUGGUGAUAUGAAUGACUUGACUGUGAUUGUUUGAUUCAAAUAUGUGCAUGACAUUCUGCAUACAUGACAUGUUGCAUGGGUUGGGUUUUAUAAAUGGAGGAAGUGCUAAAAGGGCAAUGCCCCAGUUUAACGAAAAAGGCUUUGCCCUAGUUUACCGAAAAGGGCUUUGCCCCAGUUUAUAAAAAAGGGCUUUGCCCCAGUUUUUAAAAGAGGCUAGGCUUCUAGUUAUAUGAUAAAGCAGCUAUGCUACCAGUGGAGAGUUUGGUUGGGUGGGUUGAGUUAUUCCCCACAUGGAGAGCUUGUUUGGUACGGGUGGAGAGUAGCAGAUGGUGGGUUGAGUAGUCUCCCCAGAUGGGCUUGCAUACAUCCAUUGGUAUUACAUGUGAUAUUGAAAUGGGCCUAUGGGCCAUACCGCUUACAGUAAAGGCAUCGGCCAGUGGUAUGAUUUAUGAAAAGGCUUCGGCCAGUGAUAUGAUUUAUGAAAAGGCUUCGGCCCAGUAUAUGUCGAGACUAAAUUAGGGCUUAGGCCCAUAUUGCUACUAUUUAAAGGCUAAGGCCCAAACUGUACCGUUACUGAAUAGGGCUUUGGCCCAGAUUGUACUGACACUGUGUUAUUCACUGUUUGUUUGUUGUUGGGGAUUACACACUAAGUUUUCGUAAACUCACCCUGUUUCUAACUGUGCAGGUAAUCCCUAAGCUUAGAUGGUUUGGAGCUGCGAGGGACUCAGAGAUGGCCACACUACUGUUUCUCUUUCUUUUAAUUGUAGUAAGUAACCAGUUUAUUUUAUUUUAUUUUAUAAGUUUUAUCUUAAGUAAUAUUAUUAUUUGGUUUUGGGUUGUAAUAAGGCCAUUUUAAUUAUUUUUUUGGGAUUAUUUUAUUUUAUACCUUAUAUUUUACUGAUAAC
rnacentral:lncRNA from 1 species